CCUUCCUAGUUCUAAUGGGGUAUGUUACCAUAUCUCAUUAUAUGCAUUCUUGUAUUGCAGGAGUACCUAUCCUAGUCAUGAGAGAAGAUAACUUUUUGGGUCUUUAAUUUAUUUAUUAUUUUCAAUUUUCAUCAGACUUGUUCCUCAUUGAGGUUUAUUAUUUUAGUUCUUUUACUUUUGAAAAAAAGCUAUUAAUUGAAGAAAACUGUAAGUGUGAAGCCCAUAUUAAUUAAUAUGAGUUAAAAUUAUGCAUGGUUCAACAAACACUGUCAUACAAUUUGCAGAUAAAUGAAGCAGAAAUAAAAGCUAGUGGGAGUACUAUAUACUCUGAAGCCAUAUGUAUACAUUACAAAAUCAUGUUUUCCUUGUAAUUAAUAUCAAGGUUUGUCUCCUUGGGUAAUCAAAAUCUAGGAAAGAGGCAGAGCUACCAGGUCCUAAGGUGGAGCAAAUAUGUAUUAGUUAAUAAUUUUCCUCUCUCUUUCCUCUCCCUAGAUAUUUUUUCAAGAGUUCCUUGUGGAAGUACAUGAGUUCUAUGGUGGAUUGCAAAAAUGGGCACAAUACUCUGCUCCUCCUCUCAUCAAGAGAACACGGAUUUCCAUCAGGAAAAUGAAAGUAACCACAGAAACAAUUCAGUAAUACUACUAAGAGAGGUUAACUUCCCACUGGCCUUGGAAGAGUCAAGCACGUCGAUUUUGUGUAGUUGUUGUGAGUUUUUCACCUGCUUAAUCACAGUUGAAUUCUAAACCAUUGUACUCGUAGCCAAAGGUGACUUAUGCAAACAUGCCUCAGUCCUCAAAAACAGCAGACAGAAGUCGAGCAAGACACUGAACCUGCACCAGGUGUCAGAGCCAGCCAACAAACUUCAGAAUUUCUGACUUGGCAGCCAGUGGCCAGCAUUUUAUUUGUCAGCCACUGAAGUCAGCAGCUUCUGCAGUCAGAGCUGGAAGAGACGAAGGGGAGGAUCUGGGCCCAGCAGGAUGACCAUUAGCCUGUCAGAUGGGCCCUCAGCACUUCUAAAACAGCACUGUAGACAUCGUCAAUCACUCGCUUCCCUGCUUGUUUAAAAAUGAAAGUGCAGCAGUGGACCACGCAUCAGAUCUAAAAAUAUCAAUGGGAACUUUUCCACUGAUGCUUCCUUUUGAGACCAUAUAAAUAACUUUAGAAAGCUCUCACUCCUGGGGCUCUUGCUUCCAGCACCUCACACUUUCCAAACAGUAACAGCACUCCACUCCAGUGCCUGUGCCCCUGAAAAGGGGGCAGGUGUAGCAGGCUUAGGUCAGCUGGCCUCCAGGAGAGGUCAGCACUGGACUAGAGGCUGGGCUCACAGCAGUGCUAUGUCAUGUUUAUCUGGCAAACCUGAGUUCCUGCCCAAAGUAUGUGUAGUGGUUUAUACAAUCUCUACAACUCUCUCUAGGAGUUAAAAUUUCAAAUAAAUGAUAAAAAUGAUAAUAAAAAAGGGAUAACAAGCCAUAUUGAAAAAGGUUGGUAACAACAGGUUCUUCUGCUUUGGGUAUAUGUCCUUGGCAGUGGGUAAAAGAAUUUGUAAACAGCCAAUAUGAGGAAAUUAAGGGGAUUAGCUAUAAUAAUAAGGCAGAAUCAGGAAGCUGGCAGUUUAUUUUGUUCCCCUGGAUUCUUAUUAAAUGCACACCUCACACUUCUAUUUCUUUGCUAUGAAAUUCUCAUGUUACUCCAGCCAUUGCUUUCUUUAUUCCAUCCUCAGGGCUCCCAUCUUUGAUGGAAGCUUGGCAUGCUGCCUCUGGUCCCUCUUUUAUGCCACCUCCUCUCUCCCUUGUGGAUAGAGCAGGUGUAGAGAAUAUUAUUCCCUAUUGGGCUCACCAGCCUCCCAAGGUGUCACCUGGCUAUGUGAAUAAUCUCUGUGCCAUGGGGCCAAUGUGGAUUAAGGACACAGGUAUAUUUUCCUGUCUGUUCACUGCCAGAUAUGAUCAUUCUUAUUUAACCCAAAUGAAUCACAGAUGCCCCAGAAAUGGGCAUGGGAGCCUUGGGGUAUUGCCUCCUUCUUAAUAAAUACUCCAUCUCACAUGAGAGAGAGGAUUUUUUUUUUUCCAGCGGAGAGAGGGUCAGUCAACUUGCCUGAAAACCCAUCAAGCUGAUGAGUUCAUUAAGGCUCCUCCCCCUUCUGGCACUAAUGCUUCCCGCAGCUCUGUUCAUCACUACUAUCCACAAUCUAGCAACUUGUCUCUCAACUUCAAGCUGACAUUUUUCUAAGAAGGGACAAAAGCAACUCUUCAUGAUUCAUAUCAUUUUAAUGACACCAACAGAUGGUGACAUUUCAUCAAUAACCCUUCUGCUUAUAACCUAUGGAUUAGCUCCUUUCUCCAUCUGCCAAAGUCACCAGGCAGGCAUCGCCACUAGCAAAUAGCAGAAAAUAAUUGUCUGUUUAGAUGCAUAAGCUCUAAACACACUACUGUCCAAUGCAAACAAUUAGCUCUAUUGUACAGCUUCCAAAGCUGCAUUGGAGGUAGCUGUUGCUAGGGCAGAAAUGGACUAGGAGAAGAGACUGUCUCAGGCUGUGCCAACAGGGCUCUCCCUGGAAACUUCACAGCCUCUUGGGGGCCAAGUCCUGCUCUAGGGAAGUACAGCAGCCUAGAAUCCUGGGGUGGAUUUGAGAGGUGCCCCAGGAGCAAGGCUGUCAGCAUACUUUAGGUGAAAUUCUCUUUGCCAAGUGAAGUCUCACUGUGGCUCGAUGGGAGACAGCUUGCAAGCUGGUUUGAGAAGUGAAAGAAAAAAAUACUGUUCCAAGUUUGAGGCUCAUUUUAUCUUUGUCCAAACUGGAUGCUUCAAGGGAGAGGCCACUGAGGUGAGGGCAGUGAUUUUCCAACUUUUGCUAGAGUUGUUGUACGCUGGCUUUGACUUUGCGACAACUUGCCCUUACCUCCAAAAACUUCUGCAGAGAGUCCACAGAAAACAAAACGAAGCACAAUGCUUCAGAAAGGAGUCAAAUGGCUUUUCAUAUAAAGGCUUAAAAUAGUUUGAUAUCUGCUGGGGUCUCUGUAGAAGACCUAGAAUUGUGCAAAGCUUUAGGGCCUUGUAAUCUUUGAUAGGAAAAAAUCUGACACAAAAACAUAUGACUUGAAGUUCCCAUGUGGUGGGUGGUGGUGUGUUAGUUGUCAGAACUUAAAAGAGCUAGUGCAGCAUGCUGGGCAGAGUAGGUGGUAGAGAAUCAGAAAUCCUGAGUUCCAGUUUCUGCUCAGGCCCAUGAUUCCUAGGGGAGUCAACACCAUCGCCUGCAAGCAGUCACUGAGCACCUACAGGUACAAAGCACUGCAUUCAAUUCGAGGAGUCUUGGAUUUAAAAGGUGAGCCAGAACAGAAGAUUCCAAAGAAUUAUAUUUAUCCAGUUACAGGGAUGCCGGCAGGUUAUGUAGCAAGAGACGACUGCUUGUCUUCACAUAUCUAUUCUGCCUAUUAUGGACUGAAUUGUGUUCCCGCAGUCAAGCCCCUUCCUCCUUUCCCCCCACCAAAAAUUCAUAUAUUGAAGCUGCAACCCCUGCCAGUACUUCAGAAUGUGACUAAUUUCAAGAUAGAAUCUUUAAAUUAAAACAAGGCCACUAGGGUGGGUCCUAAUCGAAUCUGCCUGAUAUUAGAAGAUUAGGACCCAGGAGAGACAGGAGGGGUUCCUGUGCACUGAGGAAAGGCCACAGGAAGAUGAGGACACAGCAUGACAGUGGCACCAGCAAGCCAAGGAGAGAGGCCUCCGAGGAAAGCAACCCUGCCAAACAGCUGGAGCUUGGACUUCCAGCCUCCAGAACUGGGAUAAAGUAAUUUUCAAUAAGGUAACUUUUAAUAAAUAAAAAGCAAUACAGUGUAGCAACUAUUUACACAGAAUUUACAUUGCAUUAGUCACUCUAAUCAAUCUAGAGAUGAUUUAAAGGACAUGGGAGGGUAUAUGUGUGUUACAUGCAAAUUAUACCCCAUUUUAUAUCAGGGCCUUGAACAUUCAUGGAUUUUGGGAUCCAAAGGGAUCCCCAUGGGUACCAAGGGAUGACAGUACUGCCUUUAUGCUUUGAUAAACAGAAAGCUUGCUUUUACCUAGGCCUGGAAUAAAGACUCUAGUUUUCAGCCUUUUCCUUGGCAAGGUGUGGUGAUGUGCUUAUGGCCAAAGGAUGUAUUGGAAGUGUGCUCCACAACUUCCUAGAUCUGUCUUUAAAGGGUGGGGGUAUAUCCUUGCUCCCUCCUUCCUGCUGGCUGGAGGGGACAUUUUGGCCAGAGCAGAAGAUAAUCUUGGGCCAUGGGGUGGAGGAACAAGGCUCUGAGUUUCUGACACCCAUCAAGGGCCAUUUGAACCCUGGACUGCCUAUACUAACUUGAGAGACAAUGCCAAACUGACGACGGAUUGCAAUGCUUCCAGACAGUGGCACCCACAAGCUAGGACUGCAUUUGCUGAGCAGCCUGGCAUCACUCUACAAAUUAUAUAGGAAGCAGGAAUCUGGUCUCUCUACAUCUUAGUAAUGCAGGUCAGGGAGUCCCAUGUUAACACUAGACAGGAUGUCAAAAUGCAGGACUGAACACUGGUUUUCUCACUGUUUACAGGAAGUUCUGCACAAGUCACGAGCCCACUUCACAUCACGAUAUGUUCUUUCUCACAAGGAUAAUAAAAAGAGCACUCUCAAAAAAAAAAUUCUAUCUUCAAGCCACUGUUAUUUUGAGUUUUUUGUUCUUUACAGUGCAAGUUUAUCCUAACUGAUCUGCAGUUCUCUUUAUGAGGACUCAAGGAAGAAACAGCUCUCACAUCUCACCACUACGAAAAGUCAGACCUCUUCUGAGAAACUAAAAAAUCUUAGAAAUACUGGGAAUCAUGUAAUCGAUAUGAUUCUUUCUUUGCUUUGUUCACUGGGGAGUUCAGAGCCAAAUUUGUAACCUGCACCCAGCAAUCACUGUGCUGGAUCUGUGCUCGCUGUGCUCCAGUCUGUUGCACUUUCUCAUCCUGGGCUGUAUUUUGUUAUAACUGUUCAUUUUAUCCUUUUUCAGAAGACGUAUUUUUGUAAAUAGCCUCAAAUCUUGUAAAACAAGGUGGGGCAGGCCUAAGUAAAAAAACUAACAUUCCUCAGUGGUCUAAUAGAAAUUUUAGUGUAACUUUAUCAGGUUGAAAAGACUUGAGAGCCAGGCUAGGUGGCUCACACCUGUAAUCCCAGUACUUUGGGCGAUUGAGGUGGGUGGGUCACUUGAGGUCAGGAAUUCGAGACCAGCCUGGCCAACAAUGGUGAAGCCCCAUCUCUACUAAAAAUACAGAAAUUAGCUGAGUGUGAUGACAGAUGCCUGUAAUCCCAGUUAGGAGGCUGAGGCAGGAGAAUCACUUGAAGGAGACAGAGGUUGCCAUGAGCUGAGAUCUAGCCACUGCACUGCAGCUGGCUGACACAGUGAGACUCUGUCUACAAUUAAAUUGGGGAUCUGAUUAAACUAAAGAGCUUCCACACAGCAAAAGAAACUAUCACCAGAGUUAACAGGCGAUGUACAGAAUGGGAGAAAAUUUUUGAAAUCUAGCCAACAAAGGGCUAAUAUCCAGAAUCUACAAAGAACUUAAAUUUACAAGAAAAAAACAACCCCAUCAAAAAGUGGGUGAAGGAUGUGAACAGACAAUUCUCAAAAGAAGACAUUUAUGCAGCCAACAAACAUAUGAAAAAAAGCUUAUCAUCACUGGUCAUUAGAGAAAUGCAAAUCGAAACCACAAUGAGAUUCCAUCUGACACCAGUUAGAAUAGAGAUCAUUAAAAAGUCAGGAGACAACAGAUGCUGGAGAGGAUGUGGAAAAAUAGAAACGUUUUUAUACUGUUGGUGGGAGUGUAAAUUAGUUCAACCAUUGUGGAAGACAGUGUGGUGAUUCCUCAAGGAUGCAGAACUAGAAAGAAAUACCAUUUGACACAGCAAUCCUAUUACUGAGUAUAUACCCAAAGGAUUAUAAAUUACUAUAAAAAUAGCAAAGACUUGGAACCGACCCAUACCCAUCAAUGAUAGACUGGAUAAAGAAAAUGUGGCACAUAUACACCAUGGAAUGCUAUGCAGCCAUAAAAAAGGAUGAGUUCAUGUCCUUUGCAGGGACAUGGAUGAAGCUGGAAACCAUCAUUCUCAGCAAACAAACACAACAGAAAACUGAAACACCACAUGUUCUCACUCAUAAGUGGGUGUUGAACAAUGAGGACACAUGGACACAGGAAAGGGAACAUCACAUACCAGGCAGGUCCGUGGGUGUGGGGUUAGGUGAGGGAUAGCAUUAGGAGAAAUAUCUAAUGUAGAUGAUAGGUUGAUGGGUGCAGAAAACCACCAUGGCACAUGUAUACCUGUGUAACAACCUGUAUGUUCUGCACAUGUACCCCAGAACUUAAAGUAUGAUAAUAGACUUGAGAAAAAGAAAAUAUAAAUGUUAUUCUAAGUGACAACUGGUGACAAAUGGAUAACCACCUUCUAGGACUCAUUUAUCAAUACUGGAGAUUGAAAUCUGGAGGUUUGGCCAUCAGAACUCUUACAGAACACAGAAGAGUUUUAGUGGUCAGAUAGCACCUACUGGAAGGCUAAAAUCAACUUGCCUCUAUUUUCAUUUAUCUGGUAAAUAGGAGGUGCAGCAGUAGCUGGUCCAGAUUCUCAUAGCAUCAUGAGAAUCCACUCAGCUUUGCCUGUACAUCUAACACUCUUUCCACUUGAAUUUGGUGUAGAUGUUUGCCCCCAAAUAAACAUCAGGUCUUUGGAGGAGGGGCCUGAGCUGGAUUCACCAGUUCAGAGGUUGCCUCAGAAGCCAGAAAAGUAUUUCUUGGAGACAACCCAGUUUCUUAAUUUUUGUCUGUGAAGGGCACUGAGCAAGAUUCUAGGGUGAAGGUGAGCCCACUUUAACACAAUUUCUCCUAUCAGAGAAUUAAAGUGAAAACCCAAGAGGCAUCUGAAAAUAGGCCAAAUUCAAGUUCUGUUUUAUUGACUGGUAAUAGAUCUCAUCACCAGUUCACAAGGAGCAAUCUCAGAGGAUCACCCAGAUUUGCCUAAAUUUCAGUUGAGGUUUGAUUCAGCCUGGAAAUGAAGAUCUUACAUCUUUCUCCCUGCUCACUUCAACCCUUAGGAAUUCCACCUCUUAUCACUGGGAAGCCCUUUCAGUGUGGCAUGAUGCUAUGUCAAAAUGGAAUGUCAGCACUUACAUAUUUAUGUAAAAACAUAAUUCACUGACUUUAAAAUCACUAGUGCAUCUCCUGCCUUUUAGACUUCGCCAGACCUUAAACACCAUGUUAUUGCAAGUCAGAGCUUAUUUGUCUCCUGGGAUGUUUUAACGUGGGAUUACCUUCCUAUACAAGAACUUGUUACUUAAUCAUAUGGACCAUAAUAGAUCACCACAGACAAGCUGCAAUCAUAGAUGGCUGCAAUCAUUUACAGUAGGAGCUUUACGCCCCAAGAAAAGGAGCUCUAGAAUUUCAGAGUUGGAAAGGUCCUGUCCUUGAGACCAGCACCAUCAUUUGAUGGGUAGGGAACCUGAGAUGAAGUGAUCUGCUGAACAAAAAUCACAGUGCCAGGCCAACCCUGAGUAUCUUCUAACUCCCAGAUUAAGGAUCUUCCCCUAUUCCACACUGCCUUUCUUCAUCGGUCCUAAAAAUAGAUAGGAAUGGGCUUUACAUCCAGUUGUACUAGGCUUCUCAGCUUUGUUUUAUAAUAAAGUUAACCUAUUAAAAUAAAAACUAGCUAUAGCAAACAUGAAGCAUUUAAUUGACUUUUUUCUAUUUUUUUGAGCCUAAAACUAAUUUCUAAUGGUCUGAAUGACUCCCUUUCCUCUCCUUCCUGCUCCCUCUCCCUCUUCCUCUUCUCCCAUCCUCUAUUUUUUCUUUCUUUCUUUCAUCUUUCUAUCUUUUCUAUUCUUUCUUCCUUUCCUUUUCCUUCCUUCCUUCCUCUUUCCCUCUAUCCUUCCGACAGGGUCUCAUUCUGUCACCUAGCCUAGAGUGCAGUGGCAUGAUCUCAAUUCACUGCAGCCUCCAUCUCCCUGGGCUCAAGCAGUCCUCCCACUUUAGCCUCCCAAAUAGCUAAGACUACAGGUAUGUACCACCAAGCCUGAUUAAUUUUUAUUUUUUGUAGAGACAAGGUCUCACUUAGUUGCCCAGGCUGGUCUCAAACUCCUGGACUCAAGUGAUCCUCCUGCCUUGGCCUUCCAAAGUGCUGGGAUUAUGGUUGUGAGCUACUGUGCCUGGCAUCACGUUUCUUUAAAAAGCUAAUAAGAAACAUCUGAGGGAGCCCAGGGCAGCUUAGCAAGGCCUCUGCAGGCAGACUGUGUCACUAGACUCCCUCCUUACUGGGCAGGGCAUCUAUGAAAAAAGCCCCUCAGGGACUUAUAAAUAAAGCCCCCACCUUCCUGGGACCGAGCACCUGGGAAAAGGGGUGGUUGUGGGUACAGCUUUGGCAGACUUAAAUGUUCCUGCCUGGCAGCUCUGAAGAGAGCAGUGGAUCCCCCAGCACAGCAUUUGAGCUCUAAUAUGGGACAGACUGCAUCCUCAAGUGGCUUCCUGACCCUCAUGUAGCCUGACUGGGAGAUAAUUCCCAGUAGGGGCUGAGAGACACCUCAUAGAGGAGAGCUCUGGCUGGCAUCUGGUGGGUAGCCUUUGGGGACAAAGCUAUCAGUGGAAGGACCAGGCAGCAAUCUUUGCUGUUCUGCAGCCCCUGCUGGUGAUUUACAGGCAAGCAGAGUCUGGAGUGGACCUCCAGAAAACUCCAGCAGACCUGCAGCAGAGGGGCCUGUCUGUUAGAAGGAAAACUAACAGAAAGAAAUAGUUUCAACAUCAACAGAAAGGACAUCCGCUCAUAGACCCCAUCCAAAGGUCACUGACUUCAAAGACUAAAGGUAGAUAAAUCCAUGAAGAUAGCAAGAAACCAGUGCAAAAAGGCUGAAAAUUCCCAAAACCAGAAUGCUGCUUUUCCUCCAAGGGAUCACAACUCCUCACCAGCAAGGGAACAAAAUUGGAUGGAGAAUGAGUUUGAUGAAUUGACAGAAGCAGGCUUCAGAAGGUGGGCAAUAACAAACUUUUCCAAGCUAAAGGAGCAUGUUCUAACCCAAUGCAAGGAAGCUAAGAACCUAGAAAAAAGGUUAGACUAAAUGCUAACUAGAAUAAACAGCAUCGAGAAGAAUAUAAACAACCCAAUGGAGCUGAAAAACACAGCAUGAGAACUUCAUGAAGCAUAUAAAAGUUUCAGUAGCUGAAUUGAUCAAGCAGAAGAAAGGGUAUCAGAGAUUGAAGAUCAACUCAAUGAAAUAAAACAGAAGACAAGAUUAGAGAAAAAAGAGUGAAAAGAAAUGAACAAAGCCUCCAAGAAAUACGGGAUUAUGUGAAAAGAACAAAUCUACCUUUGAUUGGUAUACCUGAAAGUGAUGGGGAGAAUGAAACCAAGUUGGAAAACACUCUUCAGAAUAUUAUCCAAGAGAACGUCCCCAACCUAGCAAGGCAGGCUGACGUUCAAAUUCAGGAAAUACAAAGACUACCACAAAGAUACUCCUUGAGAACAGCAACCCCAAGACACAUAAUUGUCAGAUUCACCAGGGUUGAAAUGAAGGAAAAAAAAUGCUCAGGGCAGCUAGGAGAGAAAGGUUGGGUUAGCCACAAAGGGAAGCCCAUCAGACUCACAGCAGAUCUCUGGAGAAACUCGACAAGCAAGAAUAGAGUGGGGGCCAACAUUCAAAACUAUUAAAAAAAAAAAUUUUCAACAUGGAAUUUAAUAUCCAGCCAGACUAAGCUUCAUAGGCAAAGGAGAAAUAAAAUACUUUAUGGAAAAACAACUGCUGAGAGAUUUUGUUACCACCAGCCCUGCCUUACAAGAGCUCCUAAAGGAAGCACUAAACAUGGAAAGGAGCGACUGGUACCAGCCACUGCAAAAACAUAAUAAAUUGUAAAGACCAUUGAUGCUAUGAAGAAACUGCAUCAACUAAUGAGCAAAAUAACCAGCUAGCAUCAUAAUGGCAGGAUCAAAUUCACACAUAACAAUAUUAACCUUAAAUGUAAAUAGGCAAAAUGCCCCAGUUAAGAGACACAGAUUGGCAAAUUGGAUAAAGAGCCAAGACCCAUCAGUAUGCUGUAUUCAGGAGACCCAUCUCAAAUGCAAAGACACACAUAGGCUCAAAAUAAAGGGAUGGAGGAAGAUUUAUGAAGAAAACGAAAAGACAAAAAAAAAGCAGAGGUUGCAACCUAGUCUCUGAUAAAACAGACUUUAAACCAACAAAGAUCAAAGGAGAUAAGGGCAUUACAUAACGGGAAAGGGAUCAAUGCAACAAGAAGAGUUAACGAUCCUUAAUACAUAUGCACCCAAUACAGGAGCACCCAGAUUCAUAAAGCAAGUUCUAAGAGACCUACAAAGAGACUUAGACUCCCACACAAUAAUAGUGGGAGACUUUAACACUCCACUGUCAAUAUUAGGUAGACCAACAAGACAGAAAAUUAACAAGGAUAUCCAGGACAUGAACUUAGCUCUGGACCAAGCAGAUUGAAUAGACAUCUACAGAACUCUCCACCCCCAAUCAACAGAAUAUACAUUUUUCUUAGUACCACAUCACACUAUUCUAAAAUUGAUCACAUAAUGGGAAGUAAAAGACUCCACACCAAAUGCAAAAGAAUGGAAAUCAUAACAGUCUCUCAGACUACAGUACAAUCAAAUAGAACUCAGGAUUAAGAAAAUCACUUAAAACCAUACAGCUAUGUGGAAACUGAACAGCCUGCUCCUGAAUGAUUACUGGAUAAAUAAUGAAGGCAGAAAUAAAGAUGUUCCUUGAAACCAGUGAGAAUGAAGACACAGUAUACUAGAAUCUCUGGGACACAUUUAAAGCAGUGUGUAGAGAGAAAUUUAUAGCACUAAAUACCCACAAGAGAAAGCAGGAAAGAUCUAAAAUCAACACCCUAAUGUCACAAUUAAUAGAACUAGAGAAGCAAGAACAAACAAAUUCAAAAGCUAACAGAAGACAAGAAAUAACUAAGAUCAGAGCAGAACUGAAGGAGAUAGACACAAAAAACCCUUCAAAAAAUCAAUGAAUCCAGGAUCUGUUUUUCUGAAAAGAUCAACAAAUAGAUAGAUCACUAGCCAGACUAAUAAAAGAGAAAAGAGAGAAGAAUCAAAUAGAUGCAAUAAAAAAAUGGUAAAGGGGAUAUCAUGAUUGAUUCCACAGGAAUACAAACUACCAUCAGAGAAUACUAUAAACACCUCUACAUAAAUAAACCAGAAAAUCUAGAAGAAAUGGAUAAAUUCCUGGACACUUAUGCCCUUCCAAGACUAAACUAGGAAGAAGUUAAAUCCCUGAAUAGACCAAUAACUAGUUCUGAAAUUGAGGCAGCAAUUAAUAGCCUACCAACCAAAAGAAGUCCAGGACCAGACAGGUUCACAGCAGAAUUCUA